ACUUUUUUUUUUUCAAACUCUAGACUCCUUGGGACCUAACUACAAAUGAUCUGACAAUGCACCUUCCGCUUGACCAAGUAGUCCUGUUCCAUUCGAUUUUUAGAUUGGAUUUUUUUUUUUCCACAUAAUAUCAUAUCAUAUCAUAUCAUAUCAUAUAUCAUAAUAUCACAUGUCAUUGUUCGUGGCUGAAAACAAGCGUUUGUUUAAAUUAAUAACUAAAGACUUUAUAAAUUCGAACAAAAGGAAUUCCCACUCUGGCGCAAGGAUACAGUCUCUUUUAAGUACGGCCGGUUACUACUUUUAACAGUUCACGCAGACACACAGACGAGUCGGAGCGGAAACAAUCAGGUAAAAUGCACAUUUUCUAGAAAUUCGAUAUUAUUAUUCAUGGUUUCAAGUAUUGAGAACAUUGUUUUGACUGUUUAAAUUGUUUUUAAAUUAAUAUAGCCUUAAAAAUAAUGUUGUAUUUUUUUGCUGGCCGCGUAAUCGCAAAAAAAUGUCUGUAAAGCUUAAAGCAUGUCAUUUUUGUUGACGGUAAGGUGUAGUUUUGUUUAUUUCCUGGUAUUAAUGAAGUAGGAUUCUCAGUUAUUAUUUAUUUUAUCCUUUACUGAUGCGUUUUGUGGCCGUCUAGCCGCCAUUUUUUCACCUGAGGGAAAAUUUUCACACAAUUUAUAAUAAUAACCGUGUCUGAAUGGCAGAAUACUGAGUUUUUAAAUUAUCUAACAUAACUUGUUCUUAAAAGCGGACAAAUGCUGCUUUCGAACGCCAGGUAGGGUGGAUUUCAAGCUGUUUUGAGACCACCAUUCUCAUUAGGUCUGUCUGUGCGCGCGCUUCGAGCAUCACCUGAGCUGACAGCUCUUUUUCACAGUAGUGAUGGGUCGUUCUUAAAUGAUUCGUUCAUUUUGAACGAAUCUUUAAUGUGACUCGGGACGAACGAGUCGUCUCGGGGAGUGAUUCGUUCAGUCGCGCAUGCGCAACAUCCUAUUAGGUUCCGUACUGGAAUUAGUUCAACUGUUUCGAGUCUUCGGGUUUUUCGAGUCGUUCGUUCUUAUGGGGCUGUCACGUGAUGAACGAACGACUCAAACCCGAGGACUCAAGAGAUGAACUAAUCAAUUCUUUUUCCGGCUCAGACUGCGUUGGUUAAGCUUAUUGGGCUGUCACGUGAUGAACGAACGACUCAAACCGAAAACUUGUCAGAUAAGAGGUGAGGUGAGCGAAUCAUAGACUAAAGACCCAGGUAAACAAUGAAUUAAUCUUUUCUGUUUCUUAUAGCAUUAUAGUUUUGUUUCAUUUGAAGCGUGAUCAACGUUUGUGUAAGCAGUAGAUGUGUUAUGGAGGUAACAGGUAACAUUUUAAUUAUAUUUUGUUAAAAUGAACGAAAUGACUCGAAAAAAGAUUGGUUCAUUUUGCUGAACGAGACUCAAAGGUCCGAGUCGGUAAAAUGAUCCGAACUUCCCAUCACUAUUUCACAGCAGUUUAUGUGACACCAGUGGUUAAACUGUAAUUUUACAAAGCUACGACAAUACUUUUUGUGCGCAAAGAAAACAAAAAUAACGACUUUAUUCCAAAAAUAACGACUUUAUUUGAGCUGGUGUUAGCUACAGAUAAGGUCUUAAUAGUAGGUGACUUUAACAUCCAUGUCGAUAAUGAAAUCGAUGCACUGGGAGCAGCAUUUACAGACAUUUUAAAUUCUAUUGGAGUUAGACAACACGUGUCCGGUCCCACUCAUUGUCGAAAUCAUACUCUAGACUUAAUACUGUCACAUGGAAUUGAUGUCAAUGCCGUUGAGAUUCUGAAGCAAAGUGAUGAUAUCUCUGAUCAUUAUCUAGUCUCAUGUAUACUCCAGAUAAAUAAAACUGUAAAUUCAACUCCUUAUUACAAGUAUGGUAGAACCAUCACUUCUACUACAAAAGACUGCUUUCUGAGUAAUCUUCCUGACUUAUCUGAAUUCCUCAGCAUGUCCAAUAGCUCAGAAAAACUUGAUGAUGUAACAGAAACUAUUGACUCUCUCUUUUCCAGGACUCUAGAUACAGUCACUCCUCUGCGCCUAAGAAAGAUUAAGGAAAACAGUCCGACCCCGUGGUAUAACGAGCACACUCGCGCCCUAGAAAGAGCGGCCCAGAAAAUGGAGGAAAGCAAAAUUAGAGGUUUUUCGUACUGCUUGGCGUGAAUGUACCCUAUUGUAUAGAAAAGCAUUAAAAUUGGCAAGAUCUGAUUACUUUUCGACUCUUUUAGAAGAUAACAAACAUAACCCUAGGUAUUUAUUCAAUACAGUGGCUAAAUUAACAAAACAUAAAGAACCAACAGGCACUGACUAUUCCCACCAGCAUAGCAGUAAUGACUUUAUGAACUACUUUACUUCCAAGAUCAAUACUAUUAGAGACAAAUUGUCACCAUGCAGCCGUCAAUUACAGUAUCGCAUCAGAUAGUGUCCUAUAGAUCUCCUGGGGAACAAUUCCACUCAUUCUCUACUAUAGGUCAGGAAGAAUUGUAUAAACUUGUUAAAGCAUCUAAACCAACAACUUGUAUGCUAGACCCUAUUCCAUUUAGGCUACUAAAAGACUUGCUUCCAGAUCUCAUAGAUCCUCUGCUAAAUAUUAUGAAUUCAUCACUGUCAUUAGGAUAUGUCCCCGAAACCUUCAAACUGGCUGCUAUUAAGCCUCUCAUUAAAAAACCACAACUUGACCCCAACAAAUUAAUUAAUUACAGACCUAUCUCGAAUCUCCCAUUUCUGUCGAACAUAUUAGAAAAGGUUGUAUCCUCACAAUUAUCUUCCUUCCUACAGAAAAAUGAUAUCUGUGAGGAUUUCCAGUCAGAUUUUAGACCGUACCCUAGUACUGAGACUGCUCUUAUUAGAGUUACAAAUGAUCUGCUCUUGUCAUCCGAUCGUGGUUGUAUCUCUCUGUUAGUGCUACUGGAUCUUAGUACUGCGUUCGAUACUGUUGACCACAACAUUCUCUUGAACAGACUUGAAAAUAUUGUUGGCAUUAGUGGUAGUGCAUUGGCAUGGUUCAAAUCGUACUUAUUUGACCGCCAUCAAUUCGUGGCAGUAAAUGAAGAGGGAGGAAGAGAACCAAAAAGUAUGAUCAUAUUAGCCCGGUUCUGUCAACACUGCACUGGCUCCCUAUUAAAUAUUGUAUAGAUUUUAAAAUCUUGCUAAUUACUUAUAAAGCCCUAAAUGGUUUAGCUCCUCAGUACCUGAGCGAGCUCUUAUCGCAUUAUAGUCCCUCACGUCCGCUGCGUUCUCAAAACUCUGGAAAUUUGAUAAUACCUAGAAAAUCCAAAUCAACCGCGGGCGGCAGAUCAUUUUCUUAUUUAGCACCCAAACUUUGGAACAAUCUACCCAACACUGUUCGGGACACAGACACACUCUGUCAGUUUAAAUCUAGAUUAAAGACCCAUCUCUUUAACCUUGCUUACACAUAACAUUAACACAUUUCUAUAAUUCAAAUCCGUUAAAGGAUUGUUAGGUGCUAAUUAGGUCAACCAAUUAGGUCAACCGGAACCGGGAACACUUCCCAUAACACCCGAUGUACUCAGUGCAACGUCAGAAGAAUGGCAGCUACGCUAAUAUUAGUCUGUUUCUUUCUUAUUCCGAGGUCACAUUAACCACCAGAUCCAGUAUGUAUCCAGAUCAGAUGGUCACUGCAGUCCUCCGGAUCCAGUCCGUACCCAGCCCAGGCGGUGGAUCAGCACCUAGAGACGACCUCUACAGCACUGAAUGUCAGCGGAGACCACAUCGACUAGAUGAGCCCCAGAGACGAAUCCCCAGUGAAGACCUCGUCACCUAGACGGCUGUCGGCACAGGACCACGGGACCUGGUCAUUCUCUCCUCUGAGAAAUGAGAGUAGGAGAACACUGCCUCCAAAAUGAGUCUUGAUAACAAGAAAGAAGAUGAUGGCGCUGCCUCAGAAAUGAGUUCUCCAUCUGCUCUAUCCAGUUGUGUGUCUAUGAAAAGUGAUCAAUCCAGGAAAAAUCCUCCUAACUUAAAUGAAGGAACAUUGACUUCUGACCCCAGCAUCACUAGGAGGAAGAGUCCGAGAUCAGAGUCUCCAGAACCUAGCUCUGUGUCUGCGAAGAGAAAAAGCUUCAUGGAUGAACC